AUUGAACGCUGGCGGCAGGCCUAACACAUGCAAGUCGGACGGUAGCACAGAGAGCUUGCUCUCGGGUGACGAGUGGCGGACGGGUGAGUAAUGUCUGGGGAUCUGCCCGAUAGAGGGGGAUAACCACUGGAAACGGUGGCUAAUACCGCAUAACGUCGCAAGACCAAAGAGGGGGACCUUCGGGCCUCUCACUAUCGGAUGAACCCAGAUGGGAUUAGCUAGUAGGCGGGGUAAUGGCCCACCUAGGCGACGAUCCCUAGCUGGUCUGAGAGGAUGACCAGCCACACUGGAACUGAGACACGGGCCAGACUCCUACGGGAGGCAGCAGUGGGGAAUAUUGCACAAUGGGCGCAAGCCUGAUGCAGCCAUGCCGCGUGUAUGAAGAAGGCCUUCGGGUUGUAAAGUACUUUCAGCGGGGAGGAAGGCGAUGUGGUUAAUAACCGCGUCGAUUGACGUUACCCGCAGAAGAAGCACCGGCUAACUCCGUGCCAGCCGCCGCAGUAA
rnacentral:rRNA from 1 species